UACGUAGGGGCCUAGCGUUGUCCGGAUUUAUUGGGCGUAAAGAGCUCGUAGGCGGCACGGUUAGUCAGGUGUGAAAUCUCCACGCUCAACGUGGAGGGGUCACCUGAUACUGCCGAGCUUGAGUCCGGUAGGGGAGUGUGGAAUUCCCGGUGUAGCGGUGAAAUGCGCAGAUAUCUGGAGGAACACCGGUGGCGAAGGCGACAUCCUGGACCGGUAUUGACGCUGAGGCACGAAAGCCAGGGGAGCAAACGGG
rnacentral:rRNA from 1 species